UACUUGUUGAUAACUAGGGCACAUAUCAAGGCAUUAGUAAAAGCAUACACAAUAGAACAAACAAUACACAGGUACCAAAUCCUUACAUUUUGCCCAUACAUGCACACCUAUAUGCCUAUAUUAACAUUGCUUUUCUGCUUAAAAGAGAAGACAACAGUCUUUCGUCUUGUAAGUUAACAAACAAGAGAUCUUUAGAAAAAUAUAAAUAGAACUAAAAAUAUAAGUAGAACUUUAUUAACUCUGCAAGGCUUUAGAAAGGAAACAUGGUAGCUAGCCAUCUGACUUCUUUAGUAAGUUGUUCUCCU
rnacentral:misc_RNA from 1 species